UACGGAGGAUCCGAGCGUUAUCCGGAUUUAUUGGGUUUAAAGGGUGCGCAGGCGGGAGAUUAAGUCGGCGGUGAAAUUUUGCAGCUCAACUGUAAAAGUGCCUUCGAAACUGGUUUCCUUGAGUGUAGAUGAAGUAGGCGGAAUUUGUGGUGUAGCGGUGAAAUGCAUAGAUAUCACGAGGAACUCCGAUUGCGCAGGCAGCAUACUAAACUACUACUGACGCUCAGGCACGAAGGCGUGGGGAUCAAACAGGAUUAGAUACCCU
rnacentral:rRNA from 1 species